rnacentral:sRNA from 1 species
AGAUAUAGCCGUAUAGGACGAAAUAGAGGCUUCUACUAGAGUAUUACCACAAUAUCCAUUUUGAGAUGGUGGAAUCGGAGACGUUAACUUAAGGUCCUGAGAGCAACUUCAUUGCACAAUAGAAAGAAGAUGUCUUUAACAAUAUUAAAAUAUUAAAU